rnacentral:rRNA from 1 species
UUUUAUUGGCCUACUCUCUUCAAAGAUGCUCGUAAGUUUGUCUUAUCUUGUGAUGAAUGUCAAAGAAUAGGUAACAUUAGUAGACGUCAAGAAAUUCCUAUGAAUUUUUCUCUUGUUAUUGAACCGUUUGAUGUUUGGGGCUUUGAUUAUAUGGGACCUUUUCCUGCCUCUAACGGUUAUACACAUAUUUUAGUUGUUGUUGAUUACGUUACUAAGUGGGUAGAAGCUAUUCCAACUAGUAGUGUUGAUCAUAACACUUCUAUUAAAAUGCUUAAAGAAGUUAUUUUUCCGAGGUCUGGAGUCCCU